rnacentral:rRNA from 1 species
UACGUAGGGGGCUAGCGUUGUCCGGAUUUAUUGGGCGUAAAGCGUGCGCAGGCGGUUGUGCAAGACAGAUGUGAAAUCCCCGGGCUCAACCUGGGAAUUGCAUUUGUGACUGCAUCGCUGGAGUGCGGCAGAGGGGGAUGGAAUUCCGCGUGUAGCAGUGAAAUGCGUAGAUAUGCGGAGGAACACCGAUGGCGAAGGCAAUCCCCUGGGCCUGCACUGACGCUCAUGCACGAAAGUGUGGGGAGCGAACAGG